rnacentral:rRNA from 1 species
AGUGAACGCUGGCGGUAGGCCUAACACAUGCAAGUCGAACGGCAGCACAGUAAGAGCUUGCUCUUACGGGUGGCGAGUGGCGGACGGGUGAGGAAUACAUCGGAAUCUACUUUUUCGUGGGGGAUAACGUAGGGAAACUUACGCUAAUACCGCAUACGACCUACGGGUGAAAGCAGGGGAUCUUCGGACCUUGCGCGAUUGAAUGAGCCGAUGUCGGAUUAGCUAGUUGGCGGGGUAAAGGCCCACCAAGGCGACGAUCCGUAGCUGGUCUGAGAGGAUGAUCAGCCACACUGGAACUGAGACACGGUCCAGACUCCUACGGGAGGCAGCAGUGGGGAAUAUUGGACAAAGGGCGCAAGCCUGAUCCAGCCAGACCGCGUGGGUGAAGAAGGCCUUCGGGUUGUAAAGCCCUUUUGUUGGGAAAGAAAAGCAGCAGGUUAAUACCCCGCUGUUCUGACGGUACCCAAAGAAUAAGCACCGGCUAACUUCGUG